rnacentral:lncRNA from 1 species
UUAAAAAACUUAAAGAUACUCAAAAUUAAUAAUUUUAAUAUUUUGAGUAACACUUCAAUACACUAUAUAAAUCUUGAUCAUUUAUUUUUCUUAAUAGAUGGUUUAGAUUUAAUAAGAAUUUAGAGGUGACCUACUAUUGAAAUAUAGGUACCAUUCAUUAGGUACCUAUUUAAAAACAACAUUUAAAACUUAAUUAUAAAUCAAAUUCAAUUUUUAAAUAUAAAACAUAAAUUUAAAAUAAAAUUUUUAGUUCUAAUUCAAAAUUUCAAUUUAAAUCAAAAAUUAAAAUUU